AUGCACUGGACAACACACUGGAAAAUAUGGUCACGGAGAAGUUCACUGGAAUUCUUGGCAUACCCUACAAGAGGAUUGGAAUCAAUACUGAAAUAUUUCUUGAUCAGAACAGAAAAUGUCUCAACUGCAAAUGGAUGGGAAGCUGACUCUGAAUGCUGUAGCAUCUUGAAGACAUACGUUCUUGACCUUUACAGAGACAAUUUUAAAUUUGCAGAGAAGAGGGAUAGGCUGGGGCAGCUGCAGGAGGAGGCAACACAUACUUCUGGAGUUUAA
rnacentral:lncRNA from 1 species